rnacentral:rRNA from 1 species
UACGGGGGGGGCAAGCGUUGUUCGGAAUUACUGGGCGUAAAGGGCUCGUAGGUGGUCAACUAAGUCGGACGUGAAAUCCCCAGGCUUAACCUGGGAACUGCGUCGGAUACUGGAUGGCUUGAAUUCGGGAGAGGGAUGCAGAGUUCCAGGUGUAGCGGUGAAAUGCGUAGAUAUCUGGAGGAAUACCGGUGGCGAAGGCGGCAUCCUGGACCGACAUUGACGCUGAACGGCGAAAGCUAGGGGAGCAAACGGG